AUUUGGUUACAUCGUAAAUUACCACAAUUUCACAGGGUAUGCUAUUCGGAUGAAAAAUUAUUGGAAGAAUUGGCAUUUAAGGGGAAUGGCAUCUCUUCCAGUAAGGCAAAGAUCGGAGCAUUGGUUUAGCCUCGUGAUUUUACAUUUUUUCUAUAAGAAAUGGUUAGUUUUUGGCAGUGUUGAAUGUUGAGCAGCAUACUACCAAUUUCAUGCUGUGAGAAUAUUUAUAAUAUAAUAUAACGUUUUCAUAUGACAAAUGUGGAGUUUUAAGUUUAUAGGAAGAUGCUUUUCCGGAGAAAUUUGUCCGACUGUGAUGUUACUGCAUUAGUAAUUAUUGGCCGCUUUUCUUUCAAUUUUAACUGCCAUUUUUCAGGGCACCUCUGUUAGUUCCAAUUUGUUCAUCCUUUUGGGGAGUUGAUAAUUAUGUGCCGCAUUCCCAGAUUUCCCAUGAUUGGUCACGAACAGACUUGGGGGGUUUAUUCUGAUUAGAUUUGGAGGGCACUGCUGUAUCACCUUUUGAAAAACCACAUUUUACAUCCCACAGCUAAAAGCAUAAUUACACAAUUGGCACACGAACUUGCUCGGAUGAUGCAUUUCCGCGAAAUCUAGUUUCCCUUGAAUAUUUUAGUUUCUAUCACUUGUGAGCUUGUUUUGUUUGCCUUUUGCCAUAUGCGAGACAUUAAGUUGCGCGGUAACUAGAAUAUAUGCCUGUCCACGCGCGCGCGCACGCAUCUCAGAUUGCGAUGAUAAAUAGCACCGUGCGCCAGUAAAACAAGGUGGAGUCGUAUUUGCUUUGCAAAAUAAAAGUACUGAAAUAGUAAAACGUACAUCUGAGUCUGGUAUUUAAUGCAG